rnacentral:rRNA from 1 species
AGCCACUUCCCUCGGCCGGCGAGUGGCGAACGGGUGAGUAAUACAUCGGAACGUGCCCAAUCGUGGGGGAUAACGCAGCGAAAGCUGUGCUAAUACCGCAUACGAUCUACGGAUGAAAGCAGGGGACCGCAAGGCCUUGCGCGAAUGGAGCGGCCGAUGGCAGAUUAGGUAGUUGGUGAGGUAAAGGCUCACCAAGCCUUCGAUCUGUAGCUGGUCUGAGAGGACGACCAGCCACACUGGGACUGAGACACGGCCCAGACUCCUACGGGAGGCAGCAGUGGGGAAUUUUGGACAAUGGGCGCAAGCCUGAUCCAGCCAUGCCGCGUGCAGGAUGAAGGCCUUCGGGUUGUAAACUGCUUUUGUACGGAACGAAACGGCCUUUUCUAAUAAAGAGGGCAUAGAUGACGGUACCCGUAAGAAUAAGCACCGGCUAACUACGUGCCAGCAGCCGCGGUAAUACGUAGGGUGCAAGCGUUAAUCGGAAUUACUGGGCGUAAAGCGUGCGCAGGCGGUGAUGUCAAGACAGUUGUGAAAUCCCCGGGCUCAACCUGGGAACUGCAUCUCGUGACUGGCAUCGCUGGAGUACGUGCAGAGGGGGAUGGAAUUCCAGCGUGUAGCAGUGAAAUGCGUAGAGAUGCUGGAGGAACACCGGUGGCGAAGGCAAUCCCCUGGGCCUAGUACUGACGCUCAUGCGCGAAAGCGUGGGGAGCAAACAGGAUUAGAUACCCUGGUAGUCCACGCCCUAAACGAUGUCGACUUGGAGGUUGGGCCCUUGAGGCGUGGCUCAGUCACGGAGCUAACGCGUUAAGUCGACCGCCUGGGGAGUACGGCCGCAAGGUUAAAACUCAAAUGAAUUGACGGGGGCCCGCACAAGCGGUGGAUGCAUGUGGUUUAAUUCGAUGCAACGCGAAGAACCUUACCUACCUCUUGACAUCCACGAGAACUUAGCCAGAGAUGGCUUUGGUGCCUUCGAAAGGAACUCGUGAGACAGGUGCUGCAUGGCUGUCGUCAGCUCGUGUUGUGAAAUGUUGGGUUAAGUCCCGCAACGAGCGCAACCCUUAUCCUUUGUUGCCAGCGGUCCGGCCGGGAACUCAAAGGAGACUGCCAGUGAUAAACUGGAGGAAGGUGGGGAUGACGUCAAGUCAUCAUGGCCCUUACGAGUAGGGCUACACACGUGCUACAAUGGCGCAUACAAAGAGAAGCGACCUCGCGAGAGCAAGCGGACCUCAUAAAGUGCGUCGUAGUCCGGAUUGGAGUCUGCAACUCGACUCCAUGAAGUCGGAAUCGCUAGUAAUCGUAG